rnacentral:rRNA from 1 species
UUCGGGGAUGGAUUAGCGGCGGACGGGUGAGUAACACGUGGGUAACCUGCCUCAAAGAGGGGGAUAGCCUCCCGAAAGGGAGAUUAAUACCGCAUAAUAUUAGUUUUUCACAUGAAGAAUUAAUUAAAGGAGUAAUCCGCUUUGAGAUGGACCCGCGGCGCAUUAGCUAGUUGGUGAGGUAACGGCUCACCAAGGCGACGAUGCGUANCCGACCUGAGAGGGUGAUCGGCCACAUUGGAACUGAGACACGGUCCAGACUCCUACGGGAGGCAGCAGUGGGGAAUAUUGCACAAUGGGCGAAAGCCUGAUGCAGCAACGCCGCGUGAGUGAUGAAAGCCUUCGGGUUGUAAAGCUCUGUCUUUGGGGACGAUAAUGACGGUACCCAAGGAGGAAGCCACGGCUAACUACGUGCCAGCAGCCGCGGUAAUACGUAGGUGGCAAGCGUUGUCCGGAUUUACUGGGCGUAAAGGAUGCGUAGGCGGAUAUUUAAGUGAGAUGUGAAAUUCCCGAGCUUAACUUGGGAGCUGCAUUUCAAACUGGAUAUCUAGAGUGCGGGAGAGGAGAAUGGAAUUCCUAGUGUAGCGGUGAAAUGCGUACAGAUUAGGAAGAACACCAGUGGCGAAGGCGAUUCUCUGGACCGUAACUGACGCUGAGGCAUGAAAGCGUGGGUAGCAAACAGGAUUAGAUACCCUGGUAGUCCACGCCGUAAACGAUGAGUACUA